AUUGAACGCUGGCGGCAUGCUUUACACAUGCAAGUCGAACGGUAACAGGGAGCUUGCUCCGCUGACGAGUGGCGAACGGGUGAGUAAUGCAUCGGAACGUGCCGUGUAAUGGGGGAUAACGUAGCGAAAGUUACGCUAAUACCGCAUACGCCCUGAGGGGGAAAGUGGGGGACCGCAAGGCCUCACGUUAUACGAGCGGCCGAUGUCGGAGUAGCUAGUUGGUGGGGUAAAGGCCUACCAAGGCGACGAUCCGUAGCGGGUCUGAGAGGAUGAUGCGCCAAACUGGGACUGAGACACGGCCCAGACUCCUACGGGAGGCAGCAGUGGGGAAUUUUGGACAAUGGGGGCAACCCUGAUCCAGCCAUGCCGCGUGAGUGAAGAAGGCCUUCGGGUUGUAAAGCUCUUUCAGGUGGAAAGAAAUCGCAUCUUUUAAUACAGGGUGUGGAUGACGGUACCUUCAGAAGAAGCACCGGCUAACUACGUGCCAGCCGCCGCAGUAAGAC
rnacentral:rRNA from 1 species